rnacentral:lncRNA from 1 species
GAAGACCUACAAAAAGCUAAUGAUUUUUACAACAAAACCAUAUUUCCCAGAUUUUUUUUUUUUUGUAUUUUAGAUUUUUGGAAACUAAGAACUGGUGAACUUUGUAACCGCCUUGGUCCCUUCUGAAACAGCAUGCUUGGCCAACUCCCCAGGUAGGACCAAUCUUACGGCAGUCUGAAUCUCACGGGAGGUAAUGGUGGGUUUCUUGUUAUAGCGUGCAAGCCUCGAAGAUUCUUGAGCCAGCUUCUCGAAGAUGUCGUUGAUGAAACUGUUCAUAAUACCCAUAGCUUUGCUGGAAAUGCCGAUAUCAGGAUGGACUUGCUUCAGGACCUUGAAGAUGUAGAUCUUGUAGGUUUCAAUGCUCUUCUUGGUUCGCUUCUUCUUCUUGUCCCCGGCUUCUUUAGGGAGCUUCUUCUCAGCUCUUGGUUUUUUCUCAGCUGGGGCCUUCUCGGCCUUUUUCUCCUCAGCUGGCUUUUUCUCGGCUGGCUUCUUCUCGGCUUUGGGUGCCAUUGGAAACUAGUUGUGAUUUCUAAAGAUUAGAGAAUGCAGUCAGUGGUGAAUGAGAGAAGUGAAAGGUGAAUAUGAAUAUAUAGGGGAGAAGGGAGAGAUUUGAUUGGUUGGUUUUCGUGAGCGAGGAUGGGUCGCUGGAUUUGACAGGGCGGAAUUGGACGGAGAGGAUCGUUUCCUGUUCGUCUUGAAUCUAUAAGAAAUUAUUUUAUUAUUUAUUUAAAGCGGGGUACUUUGGUUUCGAUUACGUUUUUAAAAUUUUGCCCAACCUUAAGUUUCGCGGGCGAAUUCUUACGGGUAUCUAAUUGUGAGCAUCCAGUUGUGUUUCUCCACGUGGCGCGUAUAAAUAUAAUAAUUUAGUUUUGGCUGGAUGCCUGCAGUUUGUUACACAAGUAUAAUUUAUUUAAUAGGUAUGUACAUGUGAAUGGGUUAAUUAUAAAUCCUAUCAAAAAUAGGUUUGAAAUUACUAAAAAUUAUAAAAGCUUUUCCAUUUCAACAGAUUAAAAAGUAGGCUUUCUAGUUAUUUAUUUCCAUUUCAACAAUUACGUACCCGUAAAAAUUCGCCCGCGAAACGGAAGGGUUGGGCAAAAUUUGAAAAAACGAAAUGGAAACAAAAUCCCCAGCUUUAAAUAAAUAAUAAAAUAAAAUCUCAUAUGAUUAAAGACGAAAGGAAGCGAUCCUUUCCGUCCAAUUCCAUCCAGUCAAAUGCAUCAACCCAUAAUUCCCACGUCACCGAUCCUCGCACACGAAAACUAACCAAUCGAAUCUCUCCCUUCUCCCGUAUAUAUUUAUAUUCACCCUUCACUUCUCUCAUUCACCACUGACUGCACUUUCUAAUCUUUAGAAAUCACAACCAGUUUCCAAUGGCACCCAAAGCCGAGAAGAAGCCAGCCGAGGAGAAAAAAGCCGAGAAAGUCCCAGCUGAGAAAAAACCAAGAGCCGAGAAGAAGCUCCCUAAAGAAGCGGGGGACAAGAAGAAGAAGCGAAGCAAGAAGAGCAUCGAAACCUACAAGAUCUACAUCUUCAAGGUGCUGAAGCAAGUCCAUCCUGAUAUCGGCAUUUCCAGCAAAGCCAUGGGUAUUAUGAACAGCUUCAUCAACGACAUCUUCGAGAAGCUGGCUCAAGAAUCUUCGAGGCUCGCACGCUAUAACAAGAAGCCCACCAUCACCUCCCGUGAGAUUCAGACUGCCGUAAGAUUGGUCCUGCCUGGGGAGUUGGCCAAGCAUGCUGUUUCAGAAGGGACCAAGGCGGUUACAAAGUUCACCAGUUCUUAGUUUCCAAAAAUCUGGGAAAUAUGGAUUUGUUGUAAAAAUCAGUAGCUUUUUGUGGGUCUUCCUGUAAUUUGCGGAGCUUAAAUGGAAAUUUAACCAUAUUUUGAAUUAAUCUUCCUUCUUUUAAAUUAACAAUUUAGUCUUAGCAGCAUUAUUUUUUAUUUUAAAAACAUAUCUUCCCCCUCUUACCUACAGAAUCCAACAACAAAACACAUUGCUCAACAUGUUACAACUUACAUUCAUCAGAGGGCUAUUGAUACCAAACAAAGAUCAUUGCGUGUAUUUUUCACUAUUAAUUAAGAUUCCAUAUUUUGGAUGUGGUUGUACAGGGUACUCAGUAAGGAAACCCAAACGGAGAUCAAUCAAACAAAUGGUUACCUUUUUAUUUUACAGCUCAAAUUAAAUUUACAUUUUAUUGGCUGUUAGAAUUUAAUUCACCUUAAUUUUGUAUUUGAUUUAAGUUAAACUAUCAAACCGGUCAAUUUUUUGUUUAGCUUAAGUUGCAUUUUAAUUACUUAUGUUUGAAAUGUUACGUUUUAGUUACUUAUAUUAAUGCGUUGUAAUAUUUUAGUCACUGAGCUGUUAAUUGCUGUUAACGGUGUAUUAGUGAGUUGACGUGGCAUGUUAAAUAAUCAUUUUCAACAAAUUUUUUUGUUAAUUUAUACUAUCGGUUUACAUAUUUUUUCAUUUUGAGUAAUUUAAUUUUUUUCUUUUAUUUUUUUAACUUUCCUUUUUUUCCCUUUAUUUUCCAUUAUUUUUUGCUUCUCUCUCUAUUUUCCUCCUUUUUCAAUUUCCUUUAACGUAAUUUUUUUUAUGUUUUUCAUUUAUUAGAACUAGUCCCUAUACUUAUUUUUUUAAACAAUUAAAUUUUUCAAAUGAGGUGAACUUGUAGAUUAGUUUUAACAAAUGAAAAAUAUAGAAAAAUUACGUUAAAAGAAAUGAAGAAGAGAAAAAAACAAAUGGAGAAGCAGAAGACAGAAAAAAAGAGAGGAGAGUUGAGAGAACAUAAAAAAAAUUGCUUAAAAUGAAAAAAUAUAGGGAUGAAUUGUAAAAUUUAACCUAAAAUUUUCGUUUAAAAUAAUGAUUUAACGUGUCACAUUAGCUUACCGUUACAUCCUUAACGGCAAUUAACUGCUCAGUGACUAAAACAUUACAGCACGAUAACGUAAGUGACUAAAACGUAACAUUUCAAACAUAAAUAACUAAAAUAUAACUUGAGACAAACAUAAAUAACUAUUUUAAUAAUUUACCCUUCAUUAAAUCAUUUAUUAUAUAACUUAUUUGUUUAUUUCAAUUAACACGGAAAAAAAAAAGAAUUACUGACACAAAAUGUUGAAAUGUAGUUUGAAAAAAUUAUUAUGACAAAAAGUAAUGGGAUCAUUGUCUAUAGUUCGGUUGUUUGAAGCAUAUACAAUGGCUCUGAACAUUGAAAACUUAUUUUAAAUUUUAUAUAUUGUAAUAAUAUUUGUCGUUUUCAAAUAUUAUUUUUAGCAUAUUUUAAUUUUUAUGGAAAAAUAUCAAUCCCUUAAAUUAUUGGACUGAUCCAUUUUGUUCAUAUGAUUAGUGUUUUUUUUAGCGAAAAAAAAAUGUUGGAGUCGAGCCGGGUCAAUUGGAUGAAAAAUAGAUUAAUACAUUAGUUUGAAGAGAGAGUUUAAACUAAUUGACUCUUAAAUCAAUAUGAACUAAUUGAAUAUAGUUUAAAAUUUCGUUAAACCAAUUUUUCUAUUUUUAAAAUACAUUCUUCAAUUUUUUAUUUUAAUAAUUUAAUUAAUUAAAUCAAAUCAAGCGUUAGAAAUCAAAAUUGAUGGCAUGAAGUAUUCAAUCCCAAGUGUAACUAAAAAAUAUUGAAAAGAAUUAAUUCCUUAAAUAAAUGAACAGACACCUUGUUGUAAGAGAAGGGUUAGUGUCUUUGAUUAAGAAUUCAUAAGGACAAAUCGUAGAUCAUCAAAUUUAAAAAUUAAAUUACAUAAUGAUAUUUAAUUUUUAUUAAUAUUUUAACAUAUAAAAAAUUAAUUUACUGUUAUUAAAAAUUCACAACAAUUAACUGUAUUAUUAUGAUUAAUAACUAAAAAAGAUAAAAUAUUUAAUAACAUUUUAAAUUUAUUAUUGAUAUUAUAACUUACCAACAAUUUAUUUUAGAGAUAAUAUUUGAUGCACCGUUAGUAUAUAAGUUUUAGUACAUCAUCGAUAAAUAAUAAUAUGAUACAUCAUAUUUAAAUUAAACAAAAAAUAUGGAAAAUUUAUAAAUAAAUAUUAAUAAUUUUAAAAUAUAAUUAUACAUCAAUUAUAAUUGUAACACCCCAAACCAGGCCCAGACGUUAUGGCUGGAUCCGACAUGCCACAUCGAAGCGUUCAAAACAUUUUAUAUUGUUGAUCCAGAAAAACCUACUUAGUGUUUUAAAAGAUAAUUUCAUUAUAGGUUAAAGUGAAUGGAAGUUGUGCACCAGGUAGGAAACCGGAAAAGAGGAGGUGAGUCUAUCGGACUACUUAAGUACCAAGCUCCCUUCGGAUCCAAUCCUAGACAUGCACACCGCCAUUGCUACACCUUAACGUCAUGUAUAUUUCUAGGAAACCGAUUUGAUUAAGUCAUUUUUAGGAAAAAUGAUUAAUUUUGGCAAAUACUUUCAUUGCGGAAGCUUUGCUUGUUGUCGUGUUAUUUUGAAACCAAUUGUUGAUUUUUUUUUUUCUGAAAACGCGCCCUAAAGCUAUCCAAUUUCAACAGUUAAAAUAAGUAAUAUCUAUCUUAGUAAUACAUAUUAAAACCAACAAAAAUAAUUAAGCGACCUUUUUACAUUUAAAAACCCAAACCUCAACGUAAAUAAUAGGAUGUCCAGUUCACCAGAAGAAAACCAAACUUUCAAAACGGGUGGCCACUCCGAAUUCCCUCACAGCUCCAAGCCCACUAUGGUUGGGGAUUUCCAGCGUGGAUGAAAAUAAAAGGGGUGAGUUUAGGGAAACUCAGUGUGUAAGGAAAACCCAUUCAAAGCCCAAGUCAACUCAAGCCCAUUGGGCCUAAGCCCAUUCAGGUAACAGUGAUACUGGGCCAGAGCCCUUUUCAAAUUACAAUAAACUGGGCCUUAGCCCCUUAUUCAGAUAACAGUAUGGCCCAUAGACCCAUUUCAAAAUACAUGCAACAUCAAUAAACAUAUGCAAGCCCAUUUGGGGAGACUACUCAACCCACCAACCACUACACUCCACCCGUACCAGCCAUACACUCCAUGUGGGGAAUAGCUCAACCCACCCAGCCCAACACUCCACAGUUGCAGCUUUACUGCUCAGUUAACAGUAAAUUGAGGCAAAGCCUCCAAUACGUGGACAAGCCACUUUCAAUACUUCCUCCGUCAAUAUCCCAAUCCCAUGCAUCAGAUAAUAACAACAUGGCAUGCAGUAAAUAACAACAGUCAAACAUGCAUUUAGGUCAAUUUAACCCUAGGGGUAUUUCGGUAAUUUAUCUACUAGGGGUAAAACUGUAAAUUUUCCACUUUUAAAGGUAUUUCGGUAAUUUAUCUAUUUUAGGGUUUUUCAUGCAUAUUCCUACUUUUCACGUACUAACAGAAUCACGUACCGAGGGUUCUUACCGAAUUGGGCCCGUUGGCCCAUCAUUCCAAUUUUGGCCCAUUAAGCCAAAAAAUAUCAAGGGCACAGAAAUCAUGCACUUUGCAGUCCAAAUUUUACAGCUUACCAAAAACAUUAAUCGAUUUACCUCAUGAGCAUUCGCACACUCGCAAAUCUACAAAAUACCGGUUUUCGGCAUUUCGGCUUUUCGACUUUUGCCGAUCCAGACUAAGAAAGAGGGUGUUAGUUACACACCUGUUUGCAACGAUAUGCUGACGAGAUCCACACACGAACCGCCUACAAUUGGAUUACUAACACGUUAAUCUAACUAUUCAAAUACAAAAUACGUAUUAACUCCUUACAAUAUUCGGCCAACCACACCUACAGAUCAUAGUAAGCUUAUAAGAAAUCAAUAAGCAACUCAUUAACAAAUUUUUGUCAAUGUUUACCACAUAAUCAUAAUUUCACUGCAAGCUGUCUUCCUGAGCAACAAUCACUAAAUCAUUUAUAACUGGAGCUACGAAACUCCAAAUCAAGUGCCGUUAAUUUUCCCUAAAAAUAGACUCAUAUAUCUUCUAUCCAUAAAAUUUUCAGAAUUUUUGGUAUGGCCAAUCAAUACCAGAUUUUUCUUAAAGUUUCCCAUGUUUCACUGUUUGACUAAUCUGACCACUCUUCAUUACGAAUCAAAUUUUCUCAUUGUACAGAAUUCAAAAUAUGUUCUCGUUUAUUCCAUUUGAAACUAGACUCAUUAAUCUUUAAUUACAUAAUUUAUUCAGCUUCUAAUUCAUCUCCCACAAUUUAUGGUGAUUUUUCAAACUCACGUUACUACUGCUGUCCCAAGCAGAUUUAUUACCAAAUUCACUCUUUCACACAUAACUUGCAUGCAUGUUAUUUAAACAUGUAUAUCACCAAUCAAUCAUCACAUAUCUAUGAUUUUACUUAAGUAUAAUCUCUAUUUCAUCAUUUUAAAGCACAACAUAUUAGCCGAUUUUUCCCUUUAGCAUCUAAGGCACAUGCAUGUUCAUUUGUUUGGCUCAACUUCACCUAUCUUCCAUUUUUCAUCAAAAGAACAUGAAACAACAACCAUUUCCUUCAUUUUAAUUCAUGACCAAAUACUCACAACACAACCAAAAACCAAAAUAUGCUUCAAGAGUUAAGGUAGAAUCAAGAAAAACUCAUGAACCUCAAAAUAGAAGCAAACUACCAUGAACUUACCUUCAAUUUUCUUCCCCAAGUGACCGAACAUUCAAGAGCUUUCUCCUCUCCUUUCUCUUCUCUAACUUUAGGCUAUGAUGAACAAAGAUGGGCAAAACUUUGUUCUUUUCACCCCUUUUUCUUUUAAUAAAAUUUCAUAUUUCAUCCAUUUAAUUCUUUAAUACAAAAGACAUGAAAUGCCUAUCAUGAAACAUUUACCUAAACCAUUAUCAUGGAACAUUUACCUAACCCAUUAUCAUGGAAUAUUUACCUAAUCCAUUAUCAUGGAACAUUUACCUAACCCAUUAUCAAUUUGUACCAUGAAUUAUGGAUAUCAAGUGCUCAUAUUGUCUACAACAACAUGAUGGCUGGCCACUUCAUGUAAAAUGGGAGGUUUGUCAUGCAAAUCCUCCUAUUUUGCACUCCUAUUUAUUUGGCCACUUCAAUUUAGCCUAUAGCAUUUUCAAACAUUUUCAUAUAGGUUCUAUUUCAUAAUUUUACCCCCUUUUUCUUAUGGAACAAAAAUUAACUAAAAUUGCCAGGUUUUAUCUUAAGCUUGGGCCUUCUAGAGGCCCACUAACAUAAUUAAACCUAUGCCAACAUUCACAGAAUUCCCGAAAAUUGGGGCGUUACAAUAAUGAUUAUAAAUAAAUAUUAAUAAUUCAUAGAUUUAGGAAAUUAGAUUUAAGGAUGGGGUUCGGAAUAUUGAGUUUAAGAUUUUAAAAUAUAUUUAUAAUUAAUUCUUAUUUAACUAUGCUUAAAUAAAGUUAUUAAAAUUCAUUUAUAAAUCCUUUUUUUUAUUUGGUUUAAUGAAACUUGUACGACUUUUUUAUACAACUAACCACAAUAUAUAUAGAUAUUUACAAGAAUGACCAAACUUCAAAAAACAAUGACAAAAAUUACCUAAAAUGAACAAUGCAAGGGUGGUGUCUGCACCCAAGUAAAUCAUCCCCCCAUCAUUAGCUAUUGAUUGCAUGGGGGUUUAAAAAAUAAUUUUUUUGGUGCCGAGACUUCAAUGGCUAGCACCAAUAUGUAAUUUUUCUCCUGUAUUUUGUAAAAUAUAGGUAUUCUUUGAUUAAAAAAAUAAUUUUUUAUUAGGUGUCAGUUAUCAGCAUCGCCAAAAAUAAAUUUAAUUUUUUUUCGUACUUUUUGUGCCGGCAAUGUGGUGGCUGAUACCCAUGUCAAUAAAAAAAAAAUAUUUUUUUGGUGUCGAUCUUCCCCAUGCUGGCACCGCUUUUUUAUUAAUUAAAAUAAUUUAUUUCUGGUGUCGACCUUUCAUUUGUUGGCACCCGUGUUUGAAAAAAAUGGUUCUUUUUUGGGUGCUGCCUAUCUUGUAGCUAGCACCCAAACAAGCUAUACAUUGAAUUUUUCUGUGUUUUGGUUGAGUUUUUUUUUUUAACUUUAACAAUUGAAAAAAAAAAGAGCCGUACUAGUGUUUUGUUGAGGAGGAAACAAAUUUUGUUGAAGAUGAAUAUCCAUAUAUUGUUAGUACAUGUCCAUUUUGCUGGAUAAAUAGUAAAUACAACUGAAGAAGUUUGUGCAUUUCAAAGUCGCCAAAAAAUAAGAAUGAGAUUCAAUAAACGUGUAAUAUUGGUGCAAAUGAAAUGGAAUAUAGGUGCAAAUUUCAAGAUUGUUUUACAAAUUUCUAAUUUCAACGGAUCCGUUGAAAUUUUCAGACAUAAAGUUUGUAGAUGGUGAUGAUAUGAUCACAAUGAUCGCAAUUUAUUGCCCCCCAAAGAUCGAGAAUCUCUGAUCGGUUGAGUAAUUCACAAUGUUAGUUGAUCCAAAAGCCCGUUCAAAUUGUCCCUCCAGUAAGUCAACAUUACGGAUUUAAUUUUGAUCUUAAUGUUUACUAGGAAUAUCUAUCAAGUUGUGGAAGGACAUCACAAACACCCGAAAAUCCAAAUUACGAUGGAUUUUCACAUAGCAACCCAAUCCUGGGUCCUAGUUUAGAGAUACAUCCAAAGGUGGUGGGUACCAUAACAAACAGUGAUGGAAGGUUCGAUAAUGAAGAUUAGUCACACCAUGAUCCUAGAGAAUUUAGUGACCCCGAUUUGGAUGAGGUUCUAGAAGAUAUAGACGAUGAAGGUGCGAAGGAGGGUUAAGAUGUGCACCCCAUUUGAUCGGGGACACGAAAUCUGAUAUAGUUAUACGAAAUAAUCCAAAGGCCCACAUGUCGAGCAUAGACCCUGAUGCAACACUUGCAUGAGAAUUUCCCAAAUUCCCAGAUAUAAUACCUUCUUACUUGAUGGAGGCAAAUUUGGAGGUUGGGGAGUUGUUCGUAGGCCAACAAUUCGAUAAUAAGAAAGACUGUGUAUAUACAAUAAAGCGAUACAACAUGAAGUUGUCGGUGGACUAUAAAGUAUCGAAAUCUACAUUGACUUUAUAUGUUGGGGAACGUUGGAGGGCUGACAGCGAUUGUAAUUGGCGGGUUCGGGCUGCAUUAAUGCAAAUGACUUAAACGUUGACAAUUAAAAAAUUAGAAGGGCCUCAUACAUCCAUGAUUGCACGUAUGAUGCAAGACCAUCGAAAAUUGGAUGCGAAAACUAUUUGCAACUUCAUUGUGUUGUUGGUAAAAGACAGGCCACAAUUCCUGUAUCAGUCUUUAUUACGAACAUAAAAUCUCGAUUCAACUACAGGGUGUCCUACAAAAAAGCAUAGUGGGUGAAACAAAUGACAACUUAGCAGUUGUAUGGUGACUAGGAUACGCCAUACAAUGAACUUUAAUGGUGGAUAGUCGCGAUGCAAAAGUAUGUGCUGGGUACCGUGAUUGAUUUGCAAACACUGUCGCAUAGAGGCUCGCACGACGAAAUAUAACUUGGGAAAUGAGUUUUUCACCGAUUGUUUUAGACGUUCGAUCCUUGUGUUAGGCUUUCUCCCACUGCAAGUCGUUCGUGCAGGUGGAUGGUACCUAGUGUUAUGGUAACUAUAUGCAAAUACUCCUAGUUGCAGGUUGCACAAGAGGACAACGAAAUGUACCGUUAGUUGCUUUCGCCAUUGUGGAGCCCGAGAACUUCGAAUCGUGAGAACUUUUCCUGAGAAAUCUGCGAAGGCAUGUUGUAAGGCAAGACAACAUUUGCAUUGUCUCUGACAGAUUGAAGGAACUACUAGUUGAAAUUAGGCGUUCUGGGGUUCCGUGGAGGUCCGUUUAUUGCAUCCGAUACAUCGCUGCAAACUUCCAAAAGAAUUAUAAAAACGAAGAUUGGCGAAAAGAAGUCGUGAACAUGGGUAAAAAAUUUCGAGCCUAAAUUUUACUGUUCAUAUUUUAUUUUUAAUCUUGUUUCUAAAUUAUUUGUAUAUGUUCAUAAUUUAUUUUUAAUCCUGCUUCUAAAUUUAUCUAUUCAUAUUUUAUUUUUAAUCCUAUUUCUAAAUUUAUCUGGUUAUAUUUUAUUUUUAAUCCUGGUUCAAAAUUUGUAAUUUAAAUAUUUUUUAAAUCUUGUUCUUAAUUUAUUAAAUAUUUUGAAAUAUUGUCAUAUCGAAAUGCAUAUGCAGGGUAUGAGCUGGAACCACGUCGAUUCAGGCAAAGGCUGACAAGGUUUAAGGCUCAAAUGGUUGGGUGACGAACUAAUUUUUGGUAGUGGUUGGGUAGUAUGGAGCCGUGGCAAUGGGCUCAAUGUUACGAUGACGGGUAUUUCUAAGAGCCUAUUUUCGGUGAGAUUGGAACAGUGGUUUCAGGAACACAAAUCUGAGCUAAAAAUAAAAAUCUAUUUUAUUUUAUUUUAUUUUAUUUUAUGGUUGGCAUCAUGAUAGGAAAUUCACAUGAAAAUUUUGAUACAAAAAUUUUACAGAUUGUGUGUUUAAUUAGGGAAGAAACUAAAUUGCAUAAAAUGCAAAAGUUGGGUUCUAGUAGCUAUAAGUAUCAAAUAGCUAUGAAAUUCAAAACUUAAGGUCCUUAUAUGGUAAUUAGACCAUCGAAGAGUAGUUAGUAGAUAUUUUAAUGACUCAUUCAUGGAAAAAUUAGAAAAGGGUAGGGACUAAAUUGGAAAUCAAUAAAAUUAAUAGAUGAUAAUUAAUUAAAAAAGAAAAAAAUUAUCUAUUUACAUAUCAUCUUCCCCAAUUUUUCUAUGGAAACCCUAGGAGAGAGGAAGAAAACUUUUCAAGCUUAAUAAGGUAUGAAAUCAAGUCCCGUUUUUAGUAAUUUCUAUAUUUUUAGAAUCAGGAUAGUCUAAUAUUUCUAUUUAGGGGAUUUAUUUGAAAAGUUGUCAAGGUAUGAAAUUUGGGUCAUGGAUAAAUAUGCUGAAAAUUAGAAAUUUAUGGUAGAAAAUGAAAAUUUAUUCAUAGAUAAACAACUUUUACAAAGAAAUUUUUGAUGAAAACUUGAUUUAGGAACUAAAAUGAAAAAGUGGUAAAACCCAUGGAAAUUUCUGAAAUUUGUGAAAUGUAUGUGCUGUAAAUGUAAUAUAUACAUUUUGGCUAGGCUUGGAAAGAGGGUUAAAUUUCAUGAAUUUCAUUUUCUAGGCCUAGGGACGAAAUCAGAAUUUUUGAAAAGGAUAGGGGCAAAAUGGUAGUUUUGCCUAAGAUGUAAUAGAAUGCAAAUGUAAAUGAAAUGUGAUAGAUUAAUGGUUAACGUUUUCCACAUAGAUCCGGAAAGACCAACCAUAGAACUAGAUCUAGGAAAAUAAAAGGUUUCGGAAUAGUUGAAAUUCAAAUACGAACCAUUUUUAAGGUAAGUUCGUGUAACUUAAAUAUGUGUGUUAAUAUGCUUGAAUUGAAUUGUAUGAUUGUGUUGAUAUAUGAGAUGAUAUACAUAAUGAAAUAGUCAUAAGUUGUGAAAUAUGGACAAAUUGUCAUAUUCCAGUUGAAUGUUGAAUUUCGAUGGAUUAAGGUGAAUUCUUGAAUAAGAAUAAUAUUGCAUAUGUUACAGAUAGAAUUUAGCUCGGACGGGUAAUUCUAAUGUAAGCCCUCUUGAGCUUAGGUUAUAAAUUGAAUUAAGCCAGGACGGGUAAACCAAAUUAAGCUCUCUAGAGCAUAUGCUACAGAUAGGAUUUAGCCUGGACUAGUGAUCUUGCUGUAAAAUGUGCGACUCAAGAGUGUGCCUUUUAAUUAUGUACCUUAAUGGGUACUUUUGCACAUGAGUAUAUUACCCGAACAUCCAUCAAAAUUUCAAUAGUUCGACGAAAAAGACUCUUGAAGUAUGGAAAUGUGAAAUUUAAUGGAAGCUUGUAAUGUGAUGAACUCAUCUAUGUUUACUUGAUUCUUAUAUGAUGUUAUGUGAUUAACUUGAUUGAUUAAGUGUUUGUGUUUAGGUAAACUCAACCAAAGUUUAUGGAAAGUAUGACUAUGUAUGCUUGUAUUGAAAAAUAUGAAUGGUAAGUUUAUUUUCCGUCAUACGAACGUACUAAGCAUAAAAUGCUUACUCUGUUUAAUUUCCCUAUUUUAUAGUGCUCAAAGCUCGCGAAGGUUGGAAGUAAGUCGGAGCAGUCAUCCCAUUAUCUCAUUUUAGUAUAAAUAAAAAUUUCAUUUUGGUAUAAUGGCAUGUAUAAGCUUAUUUGGCUAAUGAUGGCUUGUAAUUGUUGUUUUGUAAUCUAGCCAUUGGAGUGGCUAGUGAUGGUCUAAGUUUGACUAUUUUUGAAGUAAUAUUUUGGUAAUCACAUAAGUGCUUAUUAUGUGUUAGUUUGUUGGAAUUAUGUUAGCAUAUAAGUUUAUGUUAAGAGUAAGUUAUAUCCUUUGAUGCAUGAGAUACCACAUGAUUGAUGUCAAAUUUUAUGUGAAUAUGAUAUUGGAUUGGUGGAUAUAUGCUUGUGAGUUUUGGUGCAGGAAAAUGGUAAGUUUUGGAUGACAAAUGAGGCUAGAAAAUAGCCUUAUUUUGUCCACACGAGUAGACAUAUGGGCAUGUGUCUUGGCCAUGUGUGACACACGGCUUGUCUCAUGGGCAUGUAGUCUGGCCGUGUGUCCCCUACAUCUUAAAAAUGAGAUACAGAAUGCUCAGAAUUGGGCACACGGGAAGAGACACGGGGGCGUGUCUCAGUUGUGUGGUUGACAGGGCCUUGGACACUGACGUGUUACACUGUCGUGUGAAAACUACACCUAAAUUUCGAAAAUAAAAUUCGCCACAUGGCCUAGCACAAGAGCAUGUAACUUGGCCAUGUGACUUCAAUUUCUUCAUGCCUUAUAAGUCAGAGAGUUACACGGGUUAGGGGCAUUGGCGUAUGUAGUCACACGGCCCAAUCACACAGGCAUGUCCCUAGACCACACAGGCAUGUGAGCCUUGCAACCUUGGAAAAUUUUUGAAAUGUUGCAAAAAUUUUUAUAAAUUUUCGAUUAAGUCCCUACUCGAUUCUAAUGCUUGUAUUGGACCUCGAGGUCCAAUUAAGGGACGUUUUGAAUGAUCCUGGUAAAUGAAUAGUAAUCUACGUAAAUUAUUUGUAAAAUGUUCUGAAUGUUUUGGUAAUACUCCGAAACCCUGUUCCGACGAGGGAAACGGGUUAAGGGUGUUACAGUAUUAGUAUUAGUAUAGUAUUAUUCAAUAUGGUUUUUUCAUUACUUGAAUAUUUGUUUAGUAUUAUAGUUCGUAUUUAUAAAAAAACAACAAAAUUUUGUAUAAUAUUAGUUUUUGAACCAUUUUUUUAUAUUUUUAAAAACAUUAUAUCAUAGCUUUUUUUUUAUUAUUCUCGAUUUUAUAUCGGUUCGACUGCGGAUAAAAUUUACAAAUUUAUGAACAAUAAAAUUUUUUAUAACUUAAAAACAACUCCUUUCGGUUUUAUCAUACUAAUAUUUGUAUUAAAAAUUACUCAAAAAUUUAUUUAUCUCUACUAUUGUCGUUUUUUUUUACAAAAUUUACCUAACUAAUUUCAUAAUUUAUGAAAAUUCUCCACGUGCAAUAAUACUAACUAAAUUUGGAUUAAUCAAACUAUACAAUUUGCUAAUGUAUUUUGAAAAAUAUUUUCUCCAGUAAAUUCAUAUUCUGCUUGAAUCAGGUCUAUCGUUGCAUUAAGUAAGAUUAGGUUCAGCCAUCCUCAAUCAAAUACACUGGAGUUGUUUAAUUUUAUUAUUAAUUGCGCAAAAUGACAAUGACUUCUCUUAUCUGAGCUUUAGACCAAACAACACUAAGCCGAGCUUCGAAUGGCUCCAACGGGAAUCUCAUGCCCCAAUGUUUAGGUUCUUGUGAUAUAAGGUUUGGUCCACAAAGAUUGCCACCUACUCAUGUAAAAUAUAAUUGACACCUUCGCCCCUUAACAGUUUAACCUUUGCGGUUAUUGUGAAAGUAUAUAAUUUAACACCGUUAAUGUAUGACUAACAAUACAUAAUAGAAUCUUCAAUUGAUGAUACACUCCCCAAAUAUAUAUAUAAAAAAAAGUCAAUCUCUCUCCCCAUUUUUUUCUCUACAUUUUUUCUCUUCAGCAUGACAAUGUCUGCAAAUUUUUUUCUCACUUUCCAUUUUAUCAAAAGUUGAAUAUUUUUGUAAAUAUUUAUUUUUUUAAUUAAUUAGAUAAAAAGGACAACUUGUACACUAAGAGUGAAUCAAAUAUCUUUCCCUAUUGUUAUAUGUAAAACAAAAAAUUCACAAACAACAAACUUUACCUAGAUUAAAAAUUAAACGUAGGAAAAACAUCUAAACAUCUUUGAUUGCUUGUAAAAAUAUGAGAUAUCUUAUAAAAUUCCUAAAAAAAAAGGCACUUAGUCUCAGGGGAAAAAUAUGAAAAUUGUUAUUAAUAUCUUAUUAAGUGAAUGUCUAUCAAUAUCAAGAUAAGUUUUGAUAUAUUUUAAAUUCUAAUAAUGAUUAGAAGUAGAUCUCUACUUCAUUUAUACUUCUUAUGUCUAUAAAUUAUAUUAGCUUUUCUUAUUUUAAAGCUAAUAUAUUAAUACCUUGUGAUAGUUAAUGCAUUAGUUUUCAAUUAUAUUCAUUAUAAUGGAUAUCAUAUUGAGAUUGUGAAUGAAGAAAAGAUUAUAUUUAAUAUGCUAUUGUUAUAAAUAUCUAUUUUGAAAGGAUGUAAAAAAGCAAUGAUUUAAUUAUUGAUUACUCUUGUUAUUAAAUUAAAUUGAUUAUGAUUAUUUUUGUGGUUUUCUUUUGUCAUCAUCUCCAUUAAGAGAUUGAAAGCAAAAUAUUUGACUCUAAAAGAUCAAUUUGUGAGCAAUAGAAUAUGAUAAUUCUAUCUAAAGCUCGAUAUCGUUGGAUGCACCUGAAAUUGCAAAUUUAUUUUUUAAACUAUGAGUAUCACUCUACAGUAUUCAGAAUAAGUUCUCAAUUAAAAUUACAUGGAAAAAUAUUAUUUAUGAGAACUUGUAUCAAAUCAUAUCCACACAUUUGUCUUUAUUUAAUUUAUUCACCAUAUAAUAUCAAUUUGAUAAUAAUAAAUACAUUAAUAUUUAUUUAAAUAAUAAGCAAAUACAUACAUGUAUUACAAAUGUAUGUAUAAUAUUUAGUACACUUGUACCAAAUCAUUUUUAUACACUUGUCUUUCUUUUAUUUAUUUUAUUUAUUUCAUAUAAAAAUCUAUUUAAAUAGAAAGUAAUUAAAUAAAAUAUACUAAAAUUGUACAAAUAUAUGUAUUACACUUGUAUAUUUUAUUUACCAUAAAUUUGUCUUUAUUUAAUUUAUUUCAUAAUAUAAUAUCAAUUUAAUAAUAACAAUAACAUUAAUAUUUACUUAAAUAAUAAGUAAAUACAUACAUAUAUUACAAAUGUAUGUAUAAUAUUUAUUACACAUGUAUUUUAUUUUUAUCACACACUUAUCACAAUUUAAUUUAUUUAUCAUAUAAAUAUCUUAUAAUAUAAUUAUAAUAAAUUAAUUUAAUAUCAUUUAUUAAUAAUAUAUAUAUAUUAUAAUUAAAAUCUAAGUAAAAAUUUUAGAUUUUUACUUUGUAUGCGGCCUCACUUAUGCUAAAUGGCAUAAUUUCCGUUUUGGUCUUUUUUAUUCUCUUUUAAUCUAUAAUUAAACUUUCAUACUUUAUUCAAUUUAAUUAUUUUAUCCAAUUAUCCUUAAUUAAGCUAAAUUCACUUAAUUAAACUCUAAUUAACCACUCAAUUAACUUUGUAAAUAUUUUUGAUAAAUAUUUACGGAUCAUUUUUCAGGAACGGAGACCCGAAAAUACACUUUUUCGAUAACCGUAAAAUUCGGGUCAUUACAGUUUAAAUAUUUGAGAUGUUUUUUUUUUUUAAGUUUUGAUUCUAUGGGUUGCAUAUUAUUUUAAGCAUAUCAUUAUUCAUGAAAAUGAAUAUUAACUGAUUUAUUUAUGUCGUUAUAGUAGGUUUUAUAAUUAAAUAAUAUAUUUAAUUAAAACAUAUCUAGUAUGCAAAUUUAUGUUAACAAACCAAUGAAUUUUAUGGUUAUUCAAAUUUGAUUUAAUUCAAAGCAUUGUUAAAGGUAGUAGUUCAUACAUUUUAUAUUAUUUCAUUUAUUAAUUAUUUAGACAAAUGACAUGAGCAAUUGUAAAUGAAAAGUUCUAUGAGCUUGAAUGGUUGGAUUUUGAAUUAAAUUUCAUAUAUGUUUAUGAUAAUGGUUAUGAAAAAAAUUGUUAGUUUUUCAUUAUGUUAGAUUUUUAUGUUUGAGAUGUGACUUUUAUUGAUAUAUUUAAUAUAGGCUUGUUUCUAUACAUGACCUAGGCAGUUAUUCUUAGUAGUUAAUUGAUUAUGCAAAAUUUUUGUUAAAAGGGUUUUAAAAGUAUUUUGAAUCCAACUUGGGACUUCUUACACCCAAAGCAAGAAUCAUACCACUGGACCAAAUGCCUUACAUUUGAAAAUUUUAGCAUAUUCCCUAAAGCGAAUAUUGCAUGUAAUUAUUUGGAAAUUAUAUUUAUUAACUUAGUGGCAUUAUAGACUUCACAUUGAUUUAGACAUUUCCAAUAAUAAAUGUCACAAUAGUACUUAUAUGUAGAUAUAAAGUAAAAGAAAUGACAGUAAAAUUGUUAAUUUGUUACAAUUUAUAUUAGCAUUAUUAGUACAAUUAAGAUGCAUAUUAAAGUAAACCAGAAGUUUACUGAUACAAAUGCAUUUACUACUUGAUGUGACCAGUUGGACCAUCCUGGAUUAUAUAUGAUGCAGAAAUUAAUUGAGAAUUCAUAUGGAUAUUCAUUAAAGAACCAGAAAAUUUCUUAAUUUAAAGAAUUCUCAUUUGUUGCUUGUUCUCAAUGAAAAUUGAUUGUUAGAAACUCACUAGCUAAAAUUGAGAUUUAAUGUUUUGCAUUUCUGAAAUGAAUAUGGUCCCAUUCAUCCAUUAUGAGGAUGGUUUUGAUAUUAUAUGAUUUUGAUAGAUGCAUUUACAAAAUAAUUACGUAUGUGUUAUCAAUUUGCAACCUGUUGUUUAUAAUAUUUUAAGAUAUGUGAAUUUUAGUAAGAUAGGGUCAGAACUGUUUUUGGAGUCCCCUGUUCUGAGUUUAGAAAAUAAUUAAAAAUUGUACAAAAAUGGUUAUGAGUUGAAAUUUACAUGCUUAGAUUUCUUAAAGAGUCUAUUUUCUGUAGAAACAAGUAAGAACUUCAUAUGAAAAUCCUACAGUGAGAAAACUUAUUUUUAGUGACUAGAGGUCAGGGCAGUUAGGUGGUGAAACAGGGGAGACUUUAACUAAUAAACUGUACUAAUUUGCUGAACCAAAAAUUAUAAAAAUUUUAUGGUGAGUAGAUAUAUGAGUCUAGUUUCAGGGAAAAUUUACGGAAUUAAAUUUCGAGUUCUGUAGCUCAAGUUAUAAUUAAUUUAGUAACUACUGCGCGAUUGGACAGAUUUGCUGCGAAUAAUGAAAUAAAUUUUCAAACCUAGUUUUUAUGCUCCGAAUUGGUAAGAUAAGCUAAGUAAUGCCUCGUGCUCGACUCCGGAAACGGUCUCGGGUAAGGGGUGUUACAUUUUAUUGGUAUCAGAGCAGGUUUAGUCGGUUCUCGAAAAUACUCAGUAAGAAUAAGAGUCUACCUAUACAUGCCAUACUUAUAUAUUUUGAUAGUGUGACGACUCCUGACGAUUUUAAAAUGUUUUCUUUUAUAGUUAUGGAUCCUGAACGAGCUAGUACAGAUGAAGUAGAGAGUAAUGCGCCUAUUCCCGCAGAAGGGACGGUGCCAUCAGAUGUUAAUGUUAGUGAAAGACCUGCAUCAGAUAGACAGGGAGGAGGAGCUAGAGAAGCCUUCUUCCAAGCCAUGACUGAUUGGUUUGCCGAGUUCGUUCGUACGAAUCCGGCUGUAAGACCUCCACCCCCUCAAGAUUCACAGGUUCCCCAUGUAGCUUCCCCAGCUGCAGGUAUAUUUAUCAGGGAGAGACCACCUAUUGAUAAGAUUAGGAAGCAAGGGGCUGAAGAAUUUCGGGCUACCAAAGAUGAUGAUGCAGAAAAAGCAGAAUUCUGGCUUGAGAAUACCAUUAGGGUUUUUGAAGAAUUAUCUUGUACACCGGAAGAAUGUAUGAAGUGUGUGGUCUCACUUCUUAGAGAUUCCGCUUAUCAUUGGUGGAAGACUCUCGUGUCUAUCGUACCGAGUGAGAGGGUUACUUGGGAUUUCUUUCAGGAGGAGUUUCGAAAGAAGUACAUCAGCCAGAGAUUUACAGAGCAGAAAAGGAAGGAGUUUCUUGAGCUAAAACAAGGUAAGAUGUCCGUGACUGAAUAUGAACGCGAAUUUGUCAGACUUAGUAAGUAUGCUCGGGAAUUUGUAUCCACCGAAGCCAACAUGUGCAAGAGAUUUGAAGAUGGGCUUAGUGAUGACAUCCGACUAUCAGUGGGUGUAUUGGAAAUAAGAGAGUUUGUUGUUCUGGUAGAAAGAGCUUGUAAAGUAGAAGACUUGUUAAAAGAAAAAGAAAAGAGCAAAGCUGAAGCUGGAGCGCAGGAUACAAAGAAGAGGCAAAUGAGUAAAUCAUUUCAGUCUACAUCUAAGAGGCUUAGGGAGCUCUCUAGCGGAUCACAUUUUCCACAUAUAUAUUCUGGCCGAAGCAGAAGUAGAAGAUUCGAGGGUUUUAGAGCUCAAACCACUACAGUUGCAAGUACUGGCAGUACUCGACCUCCUAGACCGGAAUGUCCUCAAUGUGGGAGACGCCACCUCGGAGAGUGUAGAGCAAGUGAAAAUGUUUGUUUCAGAUGUAGAGCAUCCGAUCACUUUAUUCGAGAUUGUCCUGAAACAACUAAAAGAGAAGAAAUAACGAGUGCGAGAUCAGGUAAUGCUCCUACCAGAGGUAGACCUCAGAGAAACCCAGGAGUGGGGGCAAGUAAUAGGGGUGCAUUCAAAGAUUCAGCGGUUAGAUCAGAUGUUAGAGCACCUGCAAGAUCAUAUGCUAUUCGAGCUCGUGAAGAGGCGUCCUCUCUUGAUGUAAUUGCGGGUACAUUUUCUCUCUAUGAUACUACUGUUAUUGCAUUAAUUGAUCCUGGCUCUACACAUUCAUAUAUAUGCACAAAAUUAGAAUUUGUUAAAAAUUUGUCUGUUGAACCUACUGAAUUUAUGGUUAAAGUCUCGAACCCCCUGGGCCAGUUUGUGAUAGUGGAUAAAGUUUGUAAAAAUUGUCCACUGAUGGUAAAAGGUAUUUGUUUCCCGGUUGACUUGAUGUUAUUGCCUUUUGAUGAGUUUGAUGUGAUAUUGGGCAUGGAUUGGUUAACUCAGCAUGAUGCAGUAGUAAACUGUAGACAAAAAUAUGUUGUGUUGAAAUGCCAGAAUGGAGAAUUACUUUGGGUUAAAUCUAAUCAAACAAAGGGAUUAUCCGAUAUGAUUUCAGUUAUGACAGCUCAGAGGUGUGUUAGAAAAGGGUAUGAUGUUUAUUUGGCGUAUGUGUUGGAUACUAAGGUAUCUGAGUCAAAGAUACAGGCAGUGCCAGUUGUAUGUGAAUUUUCUGAUGUAUUUCCAAAGGAGUUACCAAGGUUGCCACCAGAAAGAGAAGUGGAAUUUUCUAUAGAUCUGAUUCCGGGAACUGCCCCAAUUUCCAUAGCUCCGUAUCGUAUGGCUCCUACAGAAUUAAAAGAGUUAAAGGCACAGUUACAGGAACUUGUUGACAGAGGUUUUGUUCGUCCGAGUCAUUCACCUUGGGGUGCUCCAGUUCUGUUUGUGAAAAAGAAAGACGGGUCUUUGAGAUUGUGUAUUGACUAUCGGCAGCUUAAUAAGGUAACUAUAAAGAAUAAGUACCCAUUGCCUCGAAUUGAUGACUUAUUUGAUCAACUGAAAGGUGCCACAGUAUUUUCAAAGAUUGAUCUCCGAUCGGGUUAUUAUCAGUUACGGGUAAAAGAGCCAGAUGUGGCAAAGACAGCUUUCAGAACCAGGUAUGGGCAUUAUGAGUUUCUGGUUAUGCCGUUUGGGUUGACUAAUGCACCUGCAGUAUUCAUGGAUUUGAUGAACCGGAUAUUCAGACCGUAUCUAGAUAGGUUUGUAGUAGUUUUUAUUGAUGACAUUUUAGUUUAUUCUCGGGAUGAAACUGAGCAUGCAGAACAUUUGAAAAUAGUGUUGCAAAUUCUGCGUGAAAAGAAACUUUAUUCUAAAUUCAGUAAAUGUGAAUUUUGGCUUCGAGAGGUAGGUUUUCUCGGACAUAUUGUAUCCGCAGAAGGCAUCAGGGUAGAUCCGAGUAAAAUUUCAGCUAUUGUCAAUUGGAGUCCACCGAAGAAUGUAUCUGAAGUUAGAAGUUUCUUGGGUUUAGCUGGUUAUUAUCGGAGAUUUGUACAAGGGUUUUCUAUGAUAGCUUCUCCAAUGACCCGUUUAUUACAGAAAGAUGUUAAAUUUGAAUGGACAGAAAAAUGCCAGCAAAGUUUCGACCGAUUGAAGGAGUUGUUAAUGAAAGCACCUAUGUUGGUACAGCCUGAAUCGGGUAAGGAAUUUAUUAUUUAUAGUGAUGCAUCAUUAAAUGGUUUGGGUUGUGUCUUGAUGCAAGAAGAUAAAGUAAUAGCCUAUGCUUCAAGACAACUUAAGCCACAUGAAAGAAACUACCCGGUACAUGAUCUCGAGUUAGCUGCUAUUGUAUUUGCAUUGAAAAUAUGGCGGCAUUAUUUGUAUGGUGAAAAGUGUCAUAUUUAUACUGAUCACAAAAGCUUGAAAUAUUUGAUAACACAGAAAGAUUUGAAUUUGAGACAACGCAGGUGGCUUGAAUUGAUAAAGGAUUAUGAUUUGGUUAUUGAUUACCAUCCGGGUAAGGCUAACGUGGUAGCUGAUGCUUUGAGCCGAAAAUAUCUAUUUACUUUACGAGCUAUGAAUACCCGGUUGUCACUGUCUAAUGAUGGUUCAAUCAUAGCUGAAUUGAGAGCUAAAUCGACAUUUCGUCAACAAAUAUGUGAAGCUCAGAGGAAUGAUGAGAAAUUACAAGCUAAACGGGUGCAUUGUGAGUCAGGUAAUGAUUCAGAAUUUCAGAUUGGAACUGAUGGUUGUUUAUUAUUCAGAGGCAGAGUAUGUGUACCGAAGAAUUCAGAACUUGUACAGAAGAUUUUACACGAAGCACACAGUGGUAUUAUGUCCGUACAUCCGGGAGGUAAUAAAAUGUAUAAUGACUUGAAAAAGAUGUAUUGGUGGCCGAGUAUGAAACGUGAUAUCUCUGAGUUUGUAUCAAGAUGUUUAGUAUGUCAGCAGGUUAAGGCUGAACAUCAGGUACCUUCGGGGUUGCUUCAGCCAAUCACUAUACCGGAAUGGAAAUGGGAAAGAAUCACUAUGGAUUUUGUAUCUGGGUUACCAUUAUCUCCGAGGAAGAAAGAUGCCAUUUGGGUAAUUGUCGACCGAUUGACAAAGUCCGCGCACUUUAUCCCAGUAUGUAUGGAUUAUUCUUUAGAUAAAUUGGCUGGAUUGUAUAUAUCUGAGAUUGUUAGACUACAUGGAGUGCCUGUCUCCAUUAUAUCAGACAGAGAUCCCCGAUUUACGUCUCGUUUCUGUAACAAAUUGCAAGAAGCUUUGGGUACUCAGUUGUAUUUCAGUACUGCAUUUCAUCCUCAGACAGAUGGCCAAUCUGAGCGUGUAAUUCAGGUAUUGGAAGAUAUGCUCCGAUGUUGUGCAUUAGAGUUUCAAGGUAAUUGGGAAAGGUAUCUACCUUUGAUUGAAUUUGCUUAUAAUAACAGUUAUCAGUCCAGUAUUAAAAUGGCUCCGUAUGAAGCUUUGUAUGGUAGAAAAUGUAGAACACCAUUAUAUUGGACAGAGCUCAGUGAAAAGAAGAUACACGGGAUUGAUUUGAUUCGGGAAACAGAAGAAAAAGUAAGACUGAUUCGGGAUAGUUUAAAAGCAGCUUCCGAUCGUCAAAAGUCAUACGCCGAUCUUAAACGAAGGGAGAUUGAAUUUCAGGUGGGUGAUAAAGUAUUCUUAAAAGUGUCUCCUUGGAAGAAAGUUCUCCGGUUCGGUCGAAAGGGUAAAUUGAGUCCAAGAUUUAUCGGACCAUAUGAGAUUAUAGAAAGAAUUAGACCAGUUGCUUACCGAUUGGCUUUACCACCGGAACUCGACAAAAUUCAUAAUGUAUUUCAUGUAUCUAUGCUACGACGGUAUCGAUCAGAUCCUUCACAUGUUAUUACUCCAACAGAAGUAGAAAUUCAGCCGGAUAUGACUUAUAAUGAAGAACCGGUUAAAGUAUUAGCACGAGAAACAAAGGAGCUUAGAAACAAAAAGGUAAAUCUGGUGAAAGUGCUAUGGCAAAAGCACGGGAUUGAGGAAGCAACAUGGGAACCGGAAGAGACAAUGAGGAAGCAAUACCCGAAUCUCUUUACUGGUAAGAUUUUCGAGGACGAAAAUCCUAAAAAGGGAGGAGAGUUGUAAUGGCCCAAAUUUGAGGUUAUCGGAACAGUGGUUUCGGAACCACAAAUCCGAUGAGAAAAAUUUUAUUUUUCUUAUAUUUUUAUGGUCUACAAUUUCACAAAAUGAUUUUUUGAAAAUUUCGUUCGAAAAUUUCGACGUUUGGGCACUCAAUUUAGUCAAAAGGACUAAAUUGUAAAAAGUGCAAAAGUUGAGUUCUACAUGUUAAAGGUGUCCAAUUGUUAUGAAACUUUAAAUUGGAGGUCCUUAUAUGGUAAUUAUACCAUUGGCAACUUGGUAGACAAAAAUGGGCAUGAGAUAAGUGAAAUAGAAAAUUUUUAAGUUAGGGGCAAUUUGGUAAUCUAGUAAUUAAAAUGAAUUAAAAGGGAAAAAGAUGAAAAAAAUCAUCAUCUUCUUCAUAUGAACGAAAUCAGCAAGGGGGGAAGCCAUAGUUAGGGUUUUCAAGCUUCCAAGCUCCAUAAUCAAGAAGUACGAAACUCGAGGUUAGACAAAGGGAAGAAUAAAGUUGAAGACUAAGUUGGUGAAUUUGGCUAUAAUUGGUACCGAGGUAAGUUUACGGUAAAUAAAUGCAAUAUUUCAAUAUUUAUUAUUAAUGCUGUUAAUUUCCAGCAAUUAUGAAUUUAUUUUAUGAAUUUAUUUGAUGAUGAUCCAAGCAUGAAAUGAUAGAGAAUUAAAAUUUAAAAGUCCCGUUGAUACAUAAGGAUGGUACUGGAUACGAAUGUCAUGACAUUUGGGUAAAGAGAUCUCAUGUAAGACCAUGUCUGGGACAUGGCAUUGGCAUCCUUAAGAUCAUGAGAGGUCCCCUGUAAGACCAUAUCUGGGACAUGGCAUGGGCACCGAGACGAGAGGUCCCAUGUAAGACCAUGUCUGGGACAUGGCGUUGGCACCGAGAUGAGAGGUCCCCUAUAAGACCAUGUCUGGGACAUGGCAUGGGCACCAUCACGAGAACAUCCCAUGUAAGACCAUGUCUGGGACAUGGCUUUGGCAUGUUAUUAUCAGAAGAGACCCGAGUAUCCUUAUUAUUCCAAUGUAGCUCAACGGGCUUGUAAACGAAUCAUGUUCAUGAAAGUUCAGUUUAAAGCAUAAAUGGCAAGCUCAGGUAAGUUGUAAGACUUAAGAACUUAUUAUACUAUCAAUUGAUGUUCAACGAUGCAGCAAGGAUUGAGUAAGUUAUGCACACAAGUAUUCUAAGUAAACAAGUAAGAGAACUAGUAUGAGAUUAACUAAAGAGUAAACUAGAGAUAUAGACAUUGAUUUAAUUAUUUAAGUUAAAUAUUGUUAUUUAUUUGCUAGUAAACUUACUAAGCUUUAUGCUUACUUCUUUUAUUUCUCUUUCUCUUAUAGUAUUGCAAAGCUACUUCAAGGAUCCUAAAGAAGUCGGAGAUCGUCCACACUAUCAACUACAACUGCUCGGUAUUUUAUAUCGAAACACGUUUGAGUUAUGGCAUGUAUAGGGAUUUAGUUAUUUUGUAUGUUUGUAAUGAUGAUUUUGCUAAUGAGUGAUGUGUAAGUAUUUGAUGAUGUAUGGUUAUUAAAAUGAUUAAGGAUGAAGGUGUUUGUUGUUAUGAAAGAUUAGGUGAUAAAUUAUGCAUGGAAAUCAUGAAAGGAUAAAAUUUUGCAAAGAAACAGAAUUCAGGCAGCACAGUGACGUGAAUUUGAAAAAUCACCCAAGAUAGUAUAAAAUGAAUUAGAGGGUGAAUGAUAUAUGGAAUUAAAGCUUGUUGAGUCUAUUUUCAUGGAAAAAUAACGAUGUAGAAGAAGGAAAUUUAUAUUUUAAGAUAUGUGAAUUUUAGUAAGAUAGGGUCAGAACUGUUUUUGGAGUCCCCUGUUCUGAGUUUAGAAAAUAAUUAAAAAUUGUACAAAAAUGGUUAUGAGUUGAAAUUUACAUGCUUAGAUUUCUUAAAGAGUCUAUUUUCUGUAGAAACAAGUAAUAACUUUAUAUGAAAAUCCUACAGUGAGAAAACUUAUUUUUAGUGACUAGAGGUCAGGGCAGUCAGGUGGUGAAACAGGGGAGACUUUAACUAAUAAACUGUACUAAUUUGCUAAACCAAAAAUUCUAAAAAUUUUAUGGUAAGUAGAUAUAUGAGUCUAGUUUCAGGAAAAAUUUACGGAAUUAAAUUUCGAGUUCUGUAGCUCAAGUUAUAAUUAAUUUAGUAACUGCUGCGCGAUUGGACAGAUUCGCUGCGAAUAAUGAAAUAAAUUUUCAAACCUAUUUUUUAUGCUCCGAAUUGGUAAGAUAAGCUAAGUAAUGCCUCGUGCUCGACUCCGGAAACGGUCUCGGGUAAGGGGUGUUACAAUAUAUAUUAAUUACAAGUCUAUUUGUAUUUUUAGAUGUUUUGAAUGUAUUGAAGAUUCAAUUAUGGCAUGAUUUGUGAUUAUCAUUUUGAUUCGAUAGUUUUCCCGACAUUAUGGGGAAAGAAAUAAUAACUUGUAAUGAGUUAGGGGGAGAGUAAUUUGAACCAGAAGUUCAACAAGGAUAACUCAUUACAAGUUAACUGUCAUAUGUAUUUACAAACUUAACGAGAAUAACCAAGUGUUAUACAUCAUCCAAUAUUUUAAUUUGAAUCAAAGUCCCAGAAGGACAGUAAGUUAGAAUAAAUAAUAGAUUAAUCGAUUCCAAAGAUGAAAAUUCUUGUAGAUGGUCAUAUAGUAGAGGAGAGUGUUUUAAAGGAGACCCAAGACAUAACUAAUAAGUAAAACUCCAGAAGGGAUUCAGGUACUUAAAACUCAAGAUUAAAAUAGUGAAAAUAAGAGAUCUCGAUAAGUUAUGUCAAUCUAAGAAAAUGUCGAACUAAUAAUAAAAGUGGUCGACAAUAGUUUUGCAUGCAAAAUUAUUGUUGAAAUAUUGAAAUAAAAAGAGAAUCUUGAAUAAAUCUAUUGAGAAAUAUAUAUAUGGAAUGAAUUGUUCAAAAUAGAAAAACGCAACUCAAGUACAAUUAAAUUUGUGGAGUUUUUGGACUAGUAGUUCAAAUACUUAAAUGUAUAAAGCCAAUAAAGGUACAAGUGAAGUAGUUUUGCAAAAACGGAAUAAAAAUAUAAAGUUUUUUGCUAAACCCUGGCAUUGAUUAUGAAAAGAUAUAAUAUUCUUUUGUGGUGGAUACAAUAACAUUUAGAUAUAUUAUUAAACUAACAGUUUAUAAAAAAAUUAACUUGUAUCUAAUGAUUGGUACAACCUUUUAUAAAUCACUAUAUAAUAAAAUUUAUAUUAAAAUCCUUGAAGGAUUUAGAAUGCCAGAAGUAUAUUGAAAUUGUUAGGAAAUUGUUCAUUUAUACGAAUUGAAAUAAUUUGAACAUGUGGUAAAUUUGACAUAAUGAAUAGUAGUUAAAUGAUGAUUAUAAAAUUAUCCAAAAUACUUAUUUGUAUUUUUAUAGAAGAAUUAUGAUUAAAAUUUGCUAUUAUUAUUGUUAAAACUUCUGAAGAGAUUAAGAUAUAUUUUCUCUAAAUUUUUCCUUAUUCAUAACUUUCAAAAGAAUUAUGAUAUAAAUGUUUAACAAAUAUAUUCAAAUAGGUAUUUAAAAAACUAGUAUUCAAGAUUAAAUACAUAGAAUAUGAGAAAAUAUGUAAUGUUUUUAUGAGAGAAAGUAAAUGCGCAUUGUACUAUUUUUCCCUUAACUAAUGUUUUAUCUCAUUAAAUUUUCCUGAUAAAGUUUUUAUCGAAACAACAUGUUAUGCAUAUUAUAAAUGUGUAUUAUUUUUUCUUCAAUAGGAAUUUUUUUUCUGACAAAGUUUUUAUCUUAAUAAAGUUUUAACAAAACAUAUUAUCUACAAAUAAACAUUUUAUGAAAAAUAUUAUGAAUAUUUUAUUAAAUAGAUAUUCAUCAAACAUAUUAUCUACCAAUAGACAUUUUAUGAAAAGUAUUAUGAAUAUUUUAUUAAAUAGAUAUUCAUCAAUAUCAAAAUAAAUUUUAAUAAACUUUAAAUUCUAAUAAUAAUUAAAUGUUAUACUUUUUAUAUCUAUAAAUAUAAACUUUAAAAAAAAGAUAAUAAAUAAUUUCAAUUAAUUAAUAAAAUACACUCUUUUUAUUCUUUACUCUUUGUCUAUUUAUUAUAUAACAAAAAUAAAAAUAUCAUAAAUUUCAUUUUUUUUAAAAUAUCUUAACUUGGAUAUCCACUAAUGUAAGGCCCAAAUGGUUUUUAAUAUUAAUAAUAAAAUCCACCUUUCAUUUCUUUGAGACCAACCUUUUCUACUAAUCAAAAAGGCAUGAAAAAUAUAUUUUAAACUAACUAAAUGCAACUCUCAAAUAAAAUAAAUUAUACAAAACUACAAUUCUUUGACAUUUUAGACUUACGGAAACUAAGAACUAGUGAACUUAGUAACAGCCUUAGUCCCUUCGGAAACAGCGUGCUUGGCCAACUCCCCAGGCAGGACCAAUCUUACGGCAGUCUGGAUCUCACGGGAGGUGAUGGUGGGCUUCUUGUUAUAGCGUGCGAGCCUCGAAGAUUCUUGAGCCAGCUUCUCGAAGAUGUCGUUGAUGAAGCUGUUCAUAAUACCCAUGGCUUUGCCGGAAAUGC